rnacentral:lncRNA from 1 species
CUUUUUUGAAAAAGAUGAGGAAAUUCCACAACAUUUAACAAUUUUCCUUUGAUUUCACAGGUUUGAUUUUUUCCCCUGAAGUUCUCAUCAUUUUUCUAUACACUGACUACUACUUUCAUAGCAAACUUUCUCUCAGAUGGGCAUUUCAGGACAUGAGAAUUUUCAUUUGGAAAAGCAUUGAAAUUCAUGAAUGAACUCUGUUGCUCCUGUCUGAAGUGGUGGUUUACUGGGGCAUAGAGCCAGUCUAGCUGCUAGCUGGCCCUACAAGAUGAAGUUGCAGCCUUCCUCCUCCUCACUUUGCACUUCUGAGGCUCACCUUUCUCCCCAGACCCAGCUGAUUCACUCACUGCAUGGGUUGCUAAGAAGGCAAGAAAAAAGUAGAAAACUCCCCUCCUGUCUGAUUCAGCUCUCAGGAGUCUGGAAUACAUCAUCACCAAUACUGAAGAAUUUAAGUCUCCAUACAGAGUAAGCCCGUCUUUAUCUUAAAAACUUCUUGUAGUGCCAGCCCCGUAAUGAACCACCUUGCCCUCACCAGUCAUCAAUCUUUAUCACAGCUGCAGUCCCCUGGACUGCUGAAAAUAUCAGUCCUGGCAGAGGAAAUUGUUAGGAAAUAUUUGUGUCUGUUUGGAGUGAAGGAAG